rnacentral:tRNA from 1 species
GCGGACUGUGCAGCUCACCAGCCUCCCGAACUGGCGGUCGCAGGUUCGAUUCCUGCCGCCCGCG